GCCGCGGCCAGGAAAAGGCAGCAAACAAAGUGAACAGUCAGCCAAGGAACGUUUGCUGGAGAUUUACGUGGAAACCUGCUCACAGAUGCAGGGCUGCUGGAUUUAUAACAAGGGUGAAAGAGGAAAAUGCCUUUGUGUUUACACAUGAGCCGGAGAGAAAGGGGGACCAGCGCAUCUUGCAUCUUAUGGUAUGGCAUGCAAGAGGGGGCCACAGGACUCCCCAGGGGAAGACCAAAUCACUGAUCAGGACUCUUCGGAUCACUGAGCUGCUGUGGCUCCAGUGAUCACAUCUGUAUUCUAGUAAGGAAGGUGGAAAGUGGAAGAGAUGUGGUCUGCCUCCUCGAUUGUCCUAUCCCUCUUAAAGGCUUCAGCUGCGUCACAUAACCACAUCUAGCUGCAAGGGAAAUGGACAGCGCAUUUAGAGGAUGCAAGAAGAUCCCAGGGACCCAGAAGUUAUUUACUGUGGAGCAACA